rnacentral:rRNA from 1 species
GCAUCAGUUUGGUUUGCUUGCAAACCAAAGCUGGCGACCGGCGCACGGGUGAGUAACACGUAUCCAACCUGCCUCAUACUCGGGGAUAGCCUUUCGAAAGAAAGAUUAAUAUCCGAUAGCAUAUAUUUCCCGCAUGGGUUUUAUAUUAAAGAAAUUCGGUAUGAGAUGGGGAUGCGUUCCAUUAGUUUGUUGGCGGGGUAACGGCCCACCAAGACUACGAUGGAUAGGGGUUCUGAGAGGAAGGUCCCCCACAUUGGAACUGAGACACGGUCCAAACUCCUACGGGAGGCAGCAGUGAGGAAUAUUGGUCAAUGGACGCGAGUCUGAACCAGCCAAGUAGCGUGAAGGAUGACUGCCCUAUGGGUUGUAAACUUCUUUUAUAUGGGAAUAAAGUGGUCCACGUGUGGAUUUUUGUAUGUACCAUAUGAAUAAGGAUCGGCUAACUCCGUGCCAGCAGCCGCGGUAAUACGGAGGAUCCGAGCGUUAUCCGGAUUUAUUGGGUUUAAAGGGAGCGUAGGCGGAUUGUUAAGUCAGUUGUGAAAGUUUGCGGCUCAACCGUAAAAUUGCAGUUGAUACUGGCAGUCUUGAGUGCAGUAGAGGUGGGCGGAAUUCGUGGUGUAGCGGUGA